CAUGUUCGUCGCAAGCCACUCACCAGGGAAUGUUUGGGUAAUUGACUUCCUGCUCGGAACUGUUGCCGCAUGCUGAUUGCAACCCGCUGUGGAAUGCGACCCGGACAGACCUUGUUGGGAGCGAGCAUUGUCCAGAGGGAGUUGAUGGUGAACGGCCAUAGAAUUCAGCUUGAAGAACUCCCAACGACAACAGUAGUCAGACAGUGCGGGGGCGGGGGGGACAAGAAACAAGCGUAACAAAUCAAAAGACAGGAAGACUUUUUGUUUGGGUGUUUUUGAGUCAGGAUGCCUCAAAUUUCAAAAUCAAUGUUCUUGAGUCUUGAUAGCUUGAGACAUUGUUGCGGAUCAUUCGGCCUCUGGACCUUUAAGGAUUGUUUGCGAAUUGAUUUGUGGGGCUGUUGGUAAGGACUUUGUGCACAGUUUUUUUUUCUUUAGUCAUGAAGAAUCCAUUUGAAUGAGCUUUUUCUCUUCUCAACGUGCCUGUUCAUCCAUUGCGUUGUUACAAGAUAUACCUGUGCUGUCAUUUUGCUCCUGUUUCUGUCCAGCUUCACGUGUCUCCUCAGAUCAGCUCUCUCCCUCCACUCGCGUCGCUUCCAGAUAUGCCAUGGCAUUUGAAAACGCAAGCUACAUACAAUACAUACCGACACUCGGGACACAUUUCGCAUUUUUCCCCCGCUUCCCUUUCCGAUCAAGGUCAGCAAAGGGAGGAUGUCUCUAAAAGAUUAUCCUGACAGAUUAUCCUGUGAUGUGAAUUAUUUUUCCUCCCCAACUGCUCGCGCAAUAUUGAUGCAUCACAAUUGAUACUAUUCAACCUAUUAAAAAUUUCCAAUUGCAAAUACAGAUUUCAGAUUGUGACAUGAAACAGAAAAUAUAGCCCAUUAUGACUGGAAGCUUAUACUCCUGCCGGAAAAAAAAAAAAAAGGAGCAACUGGUUGUGUUGAGUGUUUGUACAACUGUCUUUCAGGUGAUUCACCAGAAUAAAAAAAUGACAAUUUCAUAACUGCAA